AUUGAACGCUGGCGGCAUGCCUUACACAUGCAAGUCGAACGGUAACAGGUCUUCGGAUGCUGACGAGUGGCGAACGGGUGAGUAAUACAUCGGAACGUGCCCAGACGUGGGGGAUAACGAGGCGAAAGCUUUGCUAAUACCGCAUACGAUCUAAGGAUGAAAGCAGGGGACCGCAAGGCCUUGCGCGUUUGGAGCGGCCGAUGGCAGAUUAGGUAGUUGGUGGGAUAAAAGCUUACCAAGCCGACGAUCUGUAGCUGGUCUGAGAGGACGACCAGCCACACUGGGACUGAGACACGGCCCAGACUCCUACGGGAGGCAGCAGUGGGGAAUUUUUGGACCAAUGGGCGAAAGCCUGACCGAGCAACGCCGCGUGAGUGAUGAAGGCCU
rnacentral:rRNA from 1 species